GGCCUCGGAGCUCAGUUGGCUAGAGCGUCGGCUGUACUAAAGUCUUCCCUUGAUGACAUGGGUUCGAAUCCCUCCGAGGCCG
rnacentral:tRNA from 1 species